rnacentral:rRNA from 1 species
AUUGAACGCUGGCGGCAGGCCUAACACAUGCAAGUCGAACGAGUGGCGGACGGGUGAGUAAUGUCUGGGAAACUGCCUGAUGGAGGGGGAUACCUCCUGGAACCGGUACCUAAUCCCGCAUACCAUCGGAUGUGCCCAGAUUGGAUGAGCUAGUAGGUGGGGUAAAGGCUCACCUAGGCGACGAUCCCUAGCUGGUCUGAGAGGAUGACCGGCCACACUGGAACUGAGACACGGUCCAGACUCCUACGGGAGGCAGCAGUGGGGAAUAUUGCACAAUGGGCGCAAGCCUGACGCAGCCAUGCCGCGUGUAUGAAGAAGGCCUUCGGGUUGUAAAGUACUGUCAGCGGGGAGGCGGUACCCGAAGAAGAAGCACCGGCUAACUCCGUGCCAGCCGCCGCGGUAAUAC